rnacentral:rRNA from 1 species
AACGUACGCUGGCGGCACGCCUUACACAUGCAAGUCGAACGAAGUAGCAAUACUUAGUGGCAGACGGGUGAGUAACAUGUAGGUAUCUACCCUUUGGCCUGGAAUAACACGAGGAAACUUGUGCUAAUACCAGAUAAGUCUUUACGGAGAAAGCUUUAUGCACCAUUGGAUGAGCCUGCACUUGAUUAGUUUGUUGGUGGGGUAAUGGCCUACCAAGACUGUGAUCAAUAGCUGAUUUGAGAGGAUGAUCAGCCACAUUGGGACUGAGACACGGCCCAAACUCCUACGGGAGGCAGCAGUGGGGAAUCUUGCACAAUGGAGGAAACUCUGAUGCAGCGAUGCCGCGUGAGUGAAGAAGGCCCUUGGGUUGUAAAGCUCUUUCGUCGGGGAAGAAAAUGACUGUACCCGAAUAAGAAGGUCCGGCUAACUUCGUG